UACGUAGGGGGCAAGCGUUGUCCGGAUUUAUUGGGCGUAAAGAGCGUGUAGGCAGCCUGAAAGGUCAGCUGUGAAAACCCGGGGCUCAACCCCGGACUUGCAGUGGGUACGGGCAGACUAGAGUGUGGUAGGGGAGACUGGAAUUCCUGGUGUAGCGGUGAAAUGCGCAGAUAUCAGGAGGAACACCGAUGGCGAAGGCAGGUCUCUGGGCCACUACUGACGCUGAGAAGCGAAAGCAUGGGGAGCGAACAGG
rnacentral:rRNA from 1 species